UACAGAGGUGGCAAGCGUUGUUCGGAAUUACUGGGCGUAAAGGGCGCGUAGGCGGCUCGCUAAGUCAGACGUGAAAUCCCCCGGCUUAACCUGGGAACUGCGUCUGAUACUGGCAAGCUCGAGUGCGGGAGAGGGAUGUGGAAUUCCAGGUGUAGCGGUGAAAUGCGUAGAUAUCUGGAGGAACACCGGUGGCGAAGGCGGCAUCCUGGACCGACACUGACGCUGAGGCGCGAAAGCUAGGGGAGCAAACAGG
rnacentral:rRNA from 1 species